rnacentral:rRNA from 1 species
UCUUUGCUGGCGACCGGCGCACGGGUGAGUAACACGUAUCCAACCUGCCCUUUACUCGGGGAUAGCCUCUCGAAAGAAAGAUUAAUACCCGAUAGCAUAAUGAUUCCGCAUGGUUUCAUUAUUAAAGGAUUCCGGUAAAGGAUGGGGAUGCGUUCCAUUAGGUUGUUGGUGAGGUAACGGCUCACCAAGCCUUCGAUGGAUAGGGGUUCUGAGAGGAAGGUCCCCCACAUUGGAACUGAGACACGGUCCAAACUCCUACGGGAGGCAGCAGUGAGGAAUAUUGGUCAAUGGGCGCUAGCCUGAACCAGCCAAGUAGCGUGAAGGAUGAAGGCUCUAUGGGUCGUAAACUUCUUUUAUAUAAGAAUAAAGUGCAGUAUGUAUACUGUUUUGUAUGUAUUAUAUGAAUAAGGAUCGGCUAACUCCGUGCCAGCAGCCGCGGUAAUACGGAGGAUCCGAGCGUUAUCCGGAUUUAUUGGGUUUAAAGGGAGCGUAGGUGGACUGGUAAGUCAGUUGUGAAAGUUUGCGGCUCAACCGUAAAAUUGCAGUUGAUACUGUCAGUCUUGAGUACAGUAGAGGUGGGCGGAAUUCGUGGUGUAGCGGUGAAAUGCUUAGAUAUCACGAAGAACUCCGAUUGCGAAGGCAGCUCACUG